ACCAAAUGGAACAAAAGAGGUUCUGCUACCAGAGCACAGAGAGGAUAGACAAGCAAAAUCAAAAGAUACCCAGUCCAGCUAGUUGUAGAGGUGCAAGCUCUUCACUUACGAAGCCGAGGCCCAUGCCUCAGGAACCAGCAAAAGACCAGGAGCUAAUGGAAUCCAAGAAGAGGCCAGUCCACCCAGUGAUCAUUGGGCUCUCGAUCUCUUCACCAAACUUUGUGCUUCCAUUUCAGCCAUCUCGUGCGACCAGGCAAGUCAUGUAAACGGGCGGUCAGAAGCAAGUCAGCAGGAAGUGCGCUGCGGUGGAUAGGCUUCUCCUGAGGGCUUGCCGGUGCGGGUCUCCCCAGGCACUGUACCAGCCAAACAGAACGCAGCUACAGCUGAAUUUGACUCCAGAUAGACUAUCUCUCGGCGGCCUUACAGCACAUAGUCACAACGUUUAGAGUUUGUUGACCAUUGGGGAUCAACAUGUCCACUGCCUGCUGGGAACUAGCCAGAAUCAGGAGGAGAUGGAAGAGACCCGAUAGAAGUUGAUGAUCUCAGCAGUCCUGUUACUUCAACUGAGGAUGACUGGCAAAUUGCUGAACUUCCCAAGGACAAGCUGAGGACACCAGGCCAACGAGGAACCGAGAUUUUUCCUGAAGGUAUUAAACUAGAGCACUUACAAGUAUAACGAGCCCCAUGACCAACAACUAGGAAUAUGGUGAUCUAGAUGUCACAAUCAAGGUGAAGGUACAAUCGACUAAAACUGUCACUGAAUGAAAUCCAGGUACAUUCUGCAGGUAAGUGGAGGAUGAUUCUGGUUUUUUAUUUAUUCAUUCUUUGUCUUGGUGCCUGUUGAUGGUAUGUUUCAUUCUGUAGUAACAGGUUAAAUGGUUCAGAAACAGCCUGUUUAAGCAGUGACUUGAUGCAGUAUGACUUACCUAUGAUAGUUAUCAAGGGAAAAAACAGCACACUCCUAAAUAAAAGGGACCUGCCACUUAAUUUUUUAUCUUGGAGCAUAGA